AACGAACGCUGGCGGCAGGCUUAACACAUGCAAGUCGAGCGCCCCGCAAGGGGAGCGGCCGACGGGGGAGUAACACGUGGGAAUCUACCCCUCCCUACGGAACAACUCCGGGAAAAUGGAGCUAAUAACGUAUAAGCCCUUCGGGGGAAAGAUUUAUCGGGGAUGGAUGUGCCCGCGUUGGAUUAGCUAGUUGGUGGGGUGAAGGCCUACCAAGGCGACGAUCCAGAGCUGGUCUGAGAGGAUGAUCAGCCACAUUGGGACUGAGACACGGCCCAAACUCCUACGGGAGGCAGCAGUGGGGAAUAUUGGACGAUGGGCGCAAGCCUGAUCCAGCCAUGCCGCGUGAAGGAUGAAGGCCUUAGGGUUGUAAAGUUCUUUCACCGAUGAAGAUAAUGACGGUAGUCGGAGAAGAAGCCCCGGCUAACUUCGUGCCAGCAGCCGCGGUAA
rnacentral:rRNA from 1 species